UGAAAAUUUCCAGUCCGCCCCGGUGACCCGGAAUAUAAUUUUAAAUUUAUACGGAAAUGGGAAAAUGUGACAAUUUAUCUCCCUGAUAAACAUAAACCCUCAAAACCCCCCAAACCUUGUGAUCUUCAGUAAAAAUGAAGAAGGUGUUGACGGAGAAGAAAUUCACGCUCGUCCACACCGUCGCAACCGCCGGCAUCUUCUCCGCCGUAUCCUUCUGGUAUGGGUUCAUGUUUGGAAGAGAAUCAUCUCGCAAGGAGCUUGGUGAUCUCAUCGACGACCUUCGCCGCUCCAAUUCCGAUUCCAAUCCUACUCCUCCUCCUCACACUUGAUUUUGUACUUUCUCUCUUCUCUUCCUAGUUCUUUUUUCUGUAAAACUGAAUUGAUUUCAGCUUUUCAGCUUCUAAUUAAUUGAGAAAUUGCUACUGAUUUUCAA